rnacentral:rRNA from 1 species
CGAGGAAUAUUGGUCAAUGGGCGCAAGCCUGAACCAGCCAUCCCGCGUGCAGGAAGACGGCCCUAUGGGUUGUAAACUGCUUUUCCAGGGGGAGAAACUUACGUACGCGUUACGUAACUGACGGUACCCUGGGAAUAAGCAUCGGCUAACUCCGUGCCAGCAGCCGCGGUAAUACGGAGGAUGCAAGCGUUAUCCGGAUUCAUUGGGUUUAAAGGGUGCGUAGGCGGACUAUUAAGUCGGUGGUGAAAUCCUGCAGCUUAACUGCAGAACUGCCAUUGAUACUGAUAGCCUUGAGUUUGGUUAAGGUAGGCGGAAUGUGUAAUGUAGCGGUGAAAUGCUUAGAUAUUACACAGAACACCAAUUGCGUAGGCAGCUUACUGAGCCGACACUGACGCUGAGGCACGAAAGCGUGGGGAUCGAACAG